UUGAAAUGGAAUCAUUAAUUAUGGACCUCUCAGGGAAUUUAUUUUUCCCCUUAGGAAUGUAUUAGUUUAUAUCUCUGGGUCCAUAAAAAGAAGAGACUGUCUUUUGUGGUCCUUUAAAAAAAUCAGUCUCAUUACUAAACCAGUAAGCCAUAAUAUCAUCGAGGGCAAGGUUACACUCUGUAAGAUGAGAACAACAUCACAUAUAUAUAGAAUCAGAUCAAGCUGGAAUAAUUUCUCAGCUUUGUUGCUUAUUAGCUGUUCAACCUUGGGCAAGUAACCACCUCUCUGAGGGUCAGUAGGUUACAUGUUUCACAACAGUUCCUAGUGUCAUGAACCAUAUGCCUCAGUUAUAGGUAGUGCUCAGGGCAGUUAUCUCUUGAGUUAUAAACUGAGCGUUUUCUUUGACUUCUACUUGAAUUCGUCUUAUUUGGCGAAGUUCACGCCUACCACUAUAGACUAUGGGACUGUUUAACACACACUUAAGGAUUGUUAACUGCUCAAAUCCAUAGCGCGGCAUGCAUCUCUAAUUUUCCGGCACUGGGGUGAAAAUGCAGAUUCUGAUGGGGCAGCUUUGGAGUUGGGACCAGGCUCUGCACUGCAAAGCAUUUCCCAGGUGAUGUCCGAGACAGAUUGCUAGUACUCCACCACCACCUCCGCUGGUACUACAGAUACUUGGGUCUGGCGCAUUUGCAGUGACAUGGGGCAGUCCUGUGCAUUGUAGGAGAUCCAGCAGCAUCCCUGGUAGUUUCCUCUGGAUGCCACUGACUCCCAGCCUGCAGCUAGGUCACCUGAAACGCCUCCAGACAUUGGCAGACAGCCUAAAUCGGUGGGUGGAGAACCACGCCCUUUAGGAUGCCAUGCCAGUGGUGCACCUCGGGGCAAGCCGGUAGGGAUCCUGGAGGUUGGUGCAGAUUGGGAAACAAAGGCUGGACUGCGCGCGCAGAGCCCGCAGUCGCAGAGGCUGGACGGAAACUUUCGGCUCCUCUAGCAGCAUCUCCCCUCACGCACCUCCCCUCCACGCGCACUGCGUCCCCACGCACACUGCGUCCCCACACGCGGCGCAGCCGCCGGAAGUGAGUUCUUGUAAGCCAGUCGAUGCUGCAGCUCCCAGCUCCUUCUAGUCAGCCUGAUGUGGCUCCAGUUUCCCAGUCGUCCCUCGCCGGGAGGUCCCGCACACCUCCCGGCCUUAACUGUGCCUCAUACUCCUCAACAGCCUUUGACGGGGGAGGCCGCAAGCUACCCACCCAGGAGGAUGCCGUCCGUGUCAAAGAGCAGAAUGCUUCCCAAAGGGACCAGGAGAAAGUGGACAUUCAUCUUUCUGUCUCAAACAGGUAUCCCUGUGCAAGUUUUCAAGAAGAACCAGUUUCCUGGUAUUGCAACUAGGGAAGAAUUGGCUUGUCAAACAGGAAUUUCAGAUUCUCAAGUCUAGAUGUGGUUUUGGAACCGAAGAGCUUGGCACCUGGAGCAGAGCAGAGGUGGGCCUGUGAAGGUCCUGGCACGUGCAUAUGUGCUCAGCUGUGUCCAGCUCUUUGUGACCCCAUUGACUACAGCCCGCCAGGCUCCUCAGUCUAUGGAAUUUUUCAGGCAGGAAUACUGGAGUGGGUUGCCAUUUCCUGCUCCAGGGGAUCUCUUCAUUCCUGUGAUCAAACUCAAGUCUCCUGUGUCUCCUGCAUGGGCAGGUGGAUUCUUUACCACUGAGCCACUUGAGAAGCCCAAAGUUCUUGGCAGAAGGCCCCAAUGCCAGGCUAGAUCUGACUGUUCUUGGAAACAAAAGCCCACAGUAGCUCUCAUCAAUUACCUCCUGCCAAUUUGCUUUAGAGCAUCCAAUCUUUUGCCACAGCAGCUCCUUUUUUCUUCCCCAUGUUGUUCCUUGUGUGCCCUCUGCGGGCUGGUCAUUGAAGUCCAUGGUGGUGCAGCCUACCCAAGCUGUGCAGGGAAGAGAAAACUCUAAACCUCUGGGAACAGUUCCAAGUCACUCCUCAGUAGGACCAAAUCUGGGAGUGGGUCUCCACCUACUCACACAGCUCUCUGGCCUCCAUCCCAAGGAACAUACCAGGAGAGCAACUUGCAGACUGGCUUGAAAGCACUCCCUCUCCAAGACUCUCCUCAGCCUGACCUUGAUAGUCCUCAGCCACACUUGCAGGAUUUGGCUUGGCCACGCUUAUCCCAAGCCACAGAACAGGGGACCCAAGUUGUAAUCUCUAGAUGGGAGUCUUGGGAAAGAAAGAUUCUGCAGCCUGCACAUGCUGAGCCUCAUGUCCGGCAGUGGCAGGCACUCUCAAGUGAAAAAGUCGUCCCCUUUGCUGGACCAACACCAGCACUCAGCACUUGGAAGCUUAUCAAGCCUUUUAGAUGAACUCUUGUCAGCCAAAGACAUUUAAGAAAAGGUACAACCCUUCCUGAAUGUGGAUCCAUGGGAACAGAAGCCACCAGAAACUCCAGAAGCAGCCCUCAGCAAAGAACAAUUUCAGGCUCUUAUUGACAUGCUGCGAAGCUGACUAAGGUCUCAGACUUAGGAGGAAGAAAGAAACUUUCUCCUGACCCUCUUUCAGACCUUCUUUCUUGGGAUACAGGACCAUCUUGAUAGAAAAAAAGGAAUAAGCAACACUUAGUGUUUGGGAAACACACGUAGGCAAGAAGACCCAUCCUUGACUUGAAAGCCUGAAAGGCUUGUUUCCCCUUUGUCCUGUUGCCUCCUUGAGUGUUUCCCAGCUCCACCUGGAUUCUGAGGAAGCUUGGACACCAGGAGAGGCAGCCUUCCUGAAGUUUUAGUGAAAUCUCACGUUGUAAUGACAAAUGUGGCCCAACUCUUCUGUCUGCACCAUCCCUGAACCGGAACCACAACAAGAAGGUGAGAUAUAAGGAGGAGUUGUUCACAUGUGUUACUUUUCUGGCAAGAUUGGAAGGCACAUCUGAAGUGUGCUUGGUGUAUAGAAGAGGAGGGAAUGUGCUGUGACUUGAACAUUCAGGUCUAGGAAUGUGAGCUCUUUUCAUGGUGGUGAAUGUCAGAUCUGGCAACUGGAAGCAACUUAAGCCUCUAACUAGUAAUGAGUGUUUCAGAGCUUCAGUCCUUAAUACACUGGAGACUUCGCAUAUUAUUUUCCCCUGGAGCAUCUUCAAUAUAAAAAAAAAAUGGCAGGAGAAGGUACAAUAACAUCUCCAACCCAUUACUCUGGAAAGGCUGGGAACCUCACUUUCCUUCGCUUUAGCAUUUUUGAAUGUAUGGGCCUGCAUACGUACCUGGAAUUUUUCAUUAUGGAUUUAAAAAAAAAGUCUGUAUUCUGACUCUUUGUGGUCUUCCUUCAACAGCCCCUGCUCCCUUCCUUUGAAAAGGAUACAUAGGAUUUUCAAGUUGUAUAUGACAUUCCAUUGAUUCCACAAGUGUAUCUUUGAAUUCACUGUGACGUCUUUGUUGUGCUUUGGUUCAUUCAUACUACUCUGUCCCAUCUUUCCAGUUCUCCUUAUUGGUAAUUACAUAUACAUCUACCUCUAUUUUCAUUUGACAGGAAGACUGUUACGGUGGCUACACAUGGUGGGAUAGUGCCUCUGGAAAAGAGUCUGAGUGUGGUAGCCUCAUGACAAAUGGGGCUUGAGAUUUGGAAUGGGACUCCUUGUGGAAAGGAUUGUGUAUUUCAAUAUAGUGGGAGGAAGACUACAUCAAGUGUGGCUAGAAACACUCAGAUCCUUUGUUGGCAGGACUUCUCUAGGCUGUAGAUAGAGCAAAGGGCUAUUGUUUAACCCCUUUUGGGUCCAGUGAUGACCACAUAGUCAUAUGAUGGCCUGUGCAGAAGUAUAUCUGCAUGUUCUUGGGAUACCCUGGGUGCUGUGCAUAUCAAAGCCUCUGCUCUGGGACUUCGCUGGUGGUCCAGUGGUUGGGAUUGCAUGCUUCCACUGCAGGGAGCCUGGAUUUGAUCCCUGGUUGGGGAACUAAGAUCCCAUGAGCUGCAUGGUGAAGCCAAAAUAUAAAAGCCUCUGCUCUGACAAGCAACCUACCACUUGAGUUGUCCAGUUGGGAGGUGGUGGAGGUCUGGCAGCCAGUGCUUUAGCAAGAGAAGCAAUCUAAUCAGAAGUUUCAGGAAAGUUUAUCAACAAAAACGUCCACCUUCUUGAGGCAAGACUGUCCUGAUCCACAAGAUGGUCUCAUCACUUCCCAAUCUCUGGCACCUGAGGACGAAGGACUAGAAUCUGGAUGUCUUCAAGACAUUCCCCUGAGACUUGAAGACAGCUUCUGGUCCCAUUGGCAGCCAUCCACAGUUGUUGAGUCACACCCUUCUUUUCUGCACUUGUGGUUUUCUGAUACUCCCAGACCAGAGAAGGAAUAACCAGCUACAGAUGGUGAGUUUCUCUUUGCUUCAAGUAUUAAAGUUAUAUCUUGUUUCCCUUUAGGGGGAUAUUGUCAGAGAACAUUGUUUUAUAGAUUAUGUUGUAUUUGUAUGGGAUGGGCUAUUCUUAGCCACACAUUCAGUGCUGUGUUGGGCAUGUGUUGUUGGAAUUCAUGGAGAGAAUAUGACCCAGGUCGACCUGGGAGAUGAACCUAGGUAACUGAAUCACCUCACCCAUCCCCCCAGCCUUGUGCUUGAAAUGUGCAUUCUGCUUGAUUUCCCCAAGAGGUAAGCUUAACAAGGACACACUUUUGAGACAGCAAGGUGUUGUUGGCACCUGUGGACAGUAUAGCUGACUGAACUGUUAAGGCUUCUAUUUAAUGUUUUUAAAGAUUCUGGCAUACAGGUGGGAAAUCAUCUUGUGGCUGCCCAAGAUGAGCCCCAGAAGUAAAUUCCUUUGCUUGUUAAACAUCUACCUACCUAUCUAGUGUGGUUUUCCAAUUUCUUCAAUCUCUGUGGCAUGUGAGUAACGGGGUGGGUUUCACUUUACACACAGGAAGCUCCUGAGUAGUUGAGAUCCAAGAGCAUGAUUGGGUAGACCCUGGCCUUACUCAUUCACCCAUAGUAUUCCAAGUAUCAUGAUCACACCCUCAAAUGAAAUGAUUUAGAAAUAGAAUGCAGUGGGUUUCUGAAGAUGCCAAGGGAAAUGUGUAGUGUACACAGGGAAGUUAGGCUGUUCAUUUUGGAAAGAGCAUACCUGAACCUAAUCCCGAGGAACCCAGAGUCACAGAUUGCAACUGGAAGCAAACUGUUUGAGUAUGUGAAAAUUAGAGAGUCCUGAAACAAAAUUUAGGUGAAAGGAUGAUAGCAGCUUCAGAAAUAUCUGAUACUUCUGGUACUUAAGGCCUCUGAACUUGUUUUUCAUUUAAUUAACACUUGCCUCACGGGAUUCCUUCAAGGUCAUACAUUUUGGAUGAGAGUUUAUGGUAGGAAGCGGUUGAAAUAGAUAGGAGUGGGGCAUCUUGUGCUUCCAGAAACUGAACAAUUGGCCAGCAGUUUCUGUGUGAUCCAGGUAGUUCCCCCAACAUGGAUUCAUCAGCUCAUCAAGCGAUAAGUUUGCAUCAGCAUCUGGGCUUUGUUGUUGGAUCAUUUAAAUGACUUGAUACAAAGUAUAAGUGACCACUAAGAUUGCAGUGACAGGCUUUAUUGGGCUGUGUUUCUGGAAUAAAUUGGGUGAAAAGAUUGAGAGUGGCUUGGGCAUUUUCUUGAGACAGAAAAUGAAGUUGGUAGCCCUGUUGCCCAUCAAAUGCUUCUCUAUCAAAAGUCUUAAUUAAAGUUGGCACUGUAAAUGUACAGAAUGGCACAUAAAUUUUCAAAUAUCUUUACUUUAGUUGAUAAAAAUAUAUGUUUUCCAGGAGACCACGUUUGGAAUUUUGAAUUGGUUUGGUUCUUUUUUGUUUUUAUUGUUUCGUUUUCAGUUUUAAGUGGUUAAUUUCUGUUGAGUUGAUGGAAAUAAUUAAGAAACAAUUCUCAGUAAGAAUAGAAGAGAGUUUAUUUUUGCCAAACUGAAAACUAGACCCCAGAAGACACAAGUUCCAGAUUCACUUGAAUUGUCCUCCCCUGGAUUACAAAAUGGAGGAGGCUUAUCAAGGCAAAAUCUGCAGCGUUGUACUUAGUUCCAUGAGUUAUUUCUAAAGAGUUACCAUUGGAGCUGGCAAGAAAUAAGGGUGGUAUAAGUAUUGUAUUGUAAGUAAGUAUUGGUUGAGGUCUGAAACCCUUCCUACUCACAGAGGGAGACCUUGAGACUGUAAGUUUGCAGCUGGCAGCUGCUAGCAGUCCUCUUCUUCUUCUUUUU